ACGAACGCUGGCGGCGUGCUUAACACAUGCAAGUCGAACGGAAAGGCCCUGCUUUUGUGGGGUGCUCGCGUGGCGAACGGGUGAGUAACACGUGAGUAACCUGCCCUUGACUUUGGGGUAACUUCAGGAAACUGGGGCUAAUACCGGAUAGGAGCUCCUGCUGCAUGGUGGGGGUUGGAAAGUUUCGGCGGUUGGGGAUGGACUCGCGGCUUAUCAGCUUGUUGGUGGGGUAGUGGCUUACCAAGGCUUUGACGGGUAGCCGGCCUGAGAGGGUGACCGGCCACAUUGGGACUGAGAUACGGCCCAGACUCCUACGGGAGGCAGCAGUGGGGAAUAUUGCACAAUGGGCGGAAGCCUGAUGCAGCAACGCCGCGUGCGGGAUGACGGCCUUCGGGUUGUAAACCGCUUUCGCCUGUGACGAAGCGUGAGUGACGGUAAUGGGUAAAGAAGCACCGGCUAACUACGUG
rnacentral:rRNA from 1 species